GCAUGGGGACUGCAUCUGGAAUAACACAGUGGCUGCAAAGGUGCAGUAAGUAAUCCAUUCAACAUCAGCUCCAGAGAUGCUCUUGCCAGCUGGGAUGUAGGACCUGGCAAUAGUGAUGCUAUUCCAGUUCAUUUGGUAACUGUCAGUCUUUCAGAAAGGGUAUUGACAACUUGGAAAGAUUAUUUUCAAUAGCUCCCAGUGUCAUUCAAGGGCAGGAAAACAGGUCUUAUUAUAGUGUCAGACUAAUGAAGCUCAAGCUAUUAAUUUAUCAGAGGCAAUUUGAAGAGGUGACUUGAUCUCCGUCUGCAAACACAAUCUUCUACCUGGGCAGGGAAGUGCUGUCUGAGGGCAGGUACCUCUUCUGUUUAGAAGAAAAGGGAAUGAUGUGCUUUACUGGUUGGAAACUGAUUUCAGGCUAGAAAUUAAGUGCAAGUACUCAACAGGGAGGAUAAUUACCCGUGGAGACAACUUACUUAGUUACCUGGCAUGUUCUCCAUCACAUAAAGUCUUUAAAUGUAUGCAGAAUAUUUUUCUAAGUCAAUAAGCUCUACCUCAAACUGAAAUCCAGGCUCGAUGCAGCAAUUACUGGAUGAAGUCAUUAGGCAUGUGUUAUGCAAGGAUUAGACUAGAUCAUCAGAUGUAAUUUCUGAAUUAAAAAUACCUUGAAGUUUCCAAUAUUACAAGAAGGCAGGGCAACUAUAUCAGGUUUUGGGGUUUUGUGUUUGGUUUUGGUUUUUUUUUCUACAAAAUGGUCCUAAUUUAAACAGCUUUUAUGAAAAGCUGUACUUGUUAAGGUUUGAUAUGAGCAUCAGUAGGUCUGCUCACAGUUUUAAGGUUCUGCUGCACAUAAUUAAAGGAAGAGAACUGGACAAGAAAGGACAACAGAACCCUUGGACACACUGAGAAAGUCUGUUGACUUUCAUUAAUAGCAACCUGGGACAAAAUGCUGCAUGCAAAUGAUGGGGCCAUGUGGAUGUGUAGUCUGAGCAAGCAAUAACAUCUGUGGGUUUGCCUCUUAAGGAGGUAGGAUCUUGCUGGCAAGAAACAGAUUUUCCUGCCUUCAACAACUGGCAGAGAAGCUGCAGUGCUGAUUGAGAGGGCGAUUGUAUCUCUGUGCAGCUGAGCAUGGUACACAAGUUCCUUGCUUCAAACACAGCAAACUGUUCUGCUCUCAUGACGAGCCCCAUUGGAGCUGGUUAAUAAAGCCCUGGAAGUGAAAUGACAUCAGUGGGAUUACCCAGAGUAAUGACAGCUGCUCCCAGCAAUGGGUUUUUGCAAGAUUGGGCCCUGUUACCAUCAGCUGGUUUCAAUGUUGUACUUCAGAAAUAAGCACUGGACUACUCAGUGUCUGAUUCAGGUUUCACAAAAUCGCUGUCAAUAGGUACAAGUGAGAACCUCUGGAGCAUCUUCCAAGUUCUUCACCAAUCGGUGGGGAAUGGCAUAAACAGGGAUGUGCAGUCUGAAAAGUCAACAGUUCACACAAACAAGAGAAACUCUAAAAGCAAUACUUACUGCAGAUUGGUAUUGAAUCAACAUCAAGAAGCUAAAACAAGAAUGAGCUAGCUACGGCCAUAGCUAAGAAGAUAAAGAUCUUUGGGGAUUCUUGCUCUAAUCCAGUGUGAAAUCCUAAGAAAAUGAGUUUGGGCUAGAUUUGUUGUUUGAAGAACAUUGGUACAUGCUUGCUGCCUUUCAAAUAAAUUCUGAAGAGUCACUGGCUUUGGUUUGUGAUGGCUUAUGAGUGUCCUCACACUGCAGCUCUGGAGGGGAGCGUUCCAUAACUGGCAUGUCUGGGAUCCAGCUGGGCAGGGAAGAAGCUGAACUUGCACAUGAGUGGAAUUGCCAGCAUUAUUAUAACACAACCAGGCUUAGUCUGAGAAUGAGAUGAAAAUCUCCUUUCUGAUACUAAUUCCAAAUAUAUCUAAAUAGUUUUUCAGAAGAAAAAAUCCUCUGUAGCUUCUGUUACAUCUCUGAUCACAUCCUUUCUAUUAAGUUACUUGCCUUGAAUUUAUUUAGUUGGUAUCAUAAGUCACUAAAUUAAAUAGCAAAACAACAGGUUUUGGUUUUUUUUUAAAGCAGGGAGAUUGGUAUUGCAGCAAAACAGCUUGUAAGCAAUAAGAAACUGUGCAGGGGAGGAAAAAAAUCCACAAUUUGUCCCAUCAGAUGCUUAGGGGAUUUGACUGGUUGGUUGACUUUUUGUUUCAAUAUUGAGAGCAAGGUUUUACAUCUAAACAGAGGUUUUCCUUACUGAACCAGACUUUGGUAAAGAAAUAUUGGGAGUCCUCUCAGCACUUCUUCUGCAUCCCUUGUAUUCAAGAGGCUCCUUCUCGGUGCUUCUUUUGAGAAAGGUAGAAAAGAGAUUAGGUGACAGUAGUGAAGACACAGAGGGACAGGAACUUCCAGCCUAUGCAAAGCACCUCAGCAUGAGACCCAAACUCAGCCUUGUGCCCUGACUCCAACACUGCUGACGGAGGGGAGGAAUGGGGCCAUGCAGGGCUAACCUGCAAGUGCAACCUGGUGUCCUCUUCCAC